rnacentral:rRNA from 1 species
UACGAGGGGGGCAAGCGUUUGUUCGGAAGUUAUUGGGCGUAAAGGGUGCGUAGGCGGUUUGGUAAGUCUUAUGUGAAAUCUACAGGCUCAACUUGUAGUCUGCAUGAGAAACUGCCGGGCUUGAGUAUGGGAGAGGUGAGUGGAAAUUCCUGGUGUAGCGGUGAAAUGCGCAGAUAUCAGGAGGAACACCGAUGGCGAAGGCAGGUCUCUGGGCCGGAUACUGACGCUGGAGGAGCGAAAGCGUGGGGAGCAACAG